GAUGGUAAAAAUUAUUCUAAAAUAUACAUGGAGCCACACGCGAAAAUAUAUUCAAUAUCAAAUAUUAUAAACUCCAGCAAAGUAGCUCUGGGAGCAAGCUAAAAGCUAGCCGGGGUACGCGAACAGACUUUAUGAGGUGACGAAGUACAAUUUCAUCCAAGUAUUUUAAAUAAUAUCAUAUUCCAAUUUGUAAUCCAACUUAUAGUGUUAUCAUCGAUCUUGAAUGAUCUAAAAGUAUCAGAUUCAAGUUUUAAUUCUUUUUAAAUCCACCUAUAAACUCAAAGUCUAAUUAUCAAUUAGUUCCUCAAACCCUAAAACUUAUCGUCGAUUCCUUGCCGCUCCACGAGAAUCAUCGGCCGCUAACUGCUGGUCCUGAAUCGAGUAGAGACAAGAUACUACGUGUGUCACGGCCGCCAGAACUCCGAAUUUCUCGUCUCGUCUCGCUCGACGGCAUCACUACUAUCAGACAUGAUUCAGAUGUUAAUUAGGGUACUUGUCAACCCAAUGCUGCUGCAGCCGCCAAGCGAACUAACUUCCGGAAGGCACAUCAAUGUAUUGCAACGGAAUGCUGAAAUCCAUGAACCGGUGGCCAAGCAUUUUGAUGACGCAUCAUUAUAAUUAGAUCGGUGAACCACACAACGUCGACAAUGCCAAGUAUACCGGUUCUGAGAAAUUUACUAAUCGUGAGGUGCAUAUAACCAUAAUUAGUGGGAAUCUACGUACGGUUAAGCAGCGUAACCUUGUUUGCUCCUUCUCUUUCUAAUUCUGAGGUUACGAUCGCAACUAUCCUCAAGGCAUUUGUAACGGUUGCGAUUGUAUAACUCACGCAUAGAACUGCUCAAGGGCAAACAACAUAACCGCGUGUUGACAACGGACGAGGAGACAGCAUGACAGAGGCUACGGGUUUUCUUGUUUGUCACGUCACGGCGCUCAGCAGCCAUAUUUUAUUGAUGAACGUCUAGCUCACGUGGCGCCAAUUCUCACAUUCUAAUCGGUUAUCCGUUCCGAUCGACGUCUCUUCGGUUACUCGGGGUUAAAUCCCACCUUUACAACGUCAAAUGAAAUGUGGACAAGGGAGUGCAACAAAAAAAUCACCUUUUUAAUGUUGACCUGCUUUGGAUUAUACUACUUGUGAUGUCAAACUUUUAAUGCCAGCACAUUAAUUAUAUGUAUUGACCUUUUUUCCAACGUUAGUUCUAAAUACUGUCUUUUUGAAUCUAUAAAUGUGAAAAAGUAGUUUAACUAUAUUUACCAACAGUUGGAGAUACUGGUAAUUUAUCAUUUUCCAAAGUCUAACAAUAUAUCGAACAUUUAUUAUUAAUUCAACGUUUAGAUGUUUGCAAGAAUUCUUUGCAAGAAUGAUUUCAUGAAAAAUGAAGGUAUCAGAUUUUACAAAUAAUGUUACUUAAUACAACUUCUAUCUUUCGUUUUAAUAAAUAUAGACCAAACAUAACCCAAAUAUUAUUGUUAUUGACGAAAAGUUUCCGUCCAAAGGUUAUAAAUUAGUUUUCAACAUAAGCUUAAAUUCUUCUUGUUCAGAAUAUAAUAAAUUAUAUGGUUUUAAGAAUAUCGUCAUCUUUGUACCGUAAAUUCGCCAUUGCUAUUACUUUGAGUUGGCGCAUAAUGUAACUAUUAUUUUACGCUCUGUGAGUGUUACACAUCUAAAUUGCGAUGGCUCGACAAAUGUAGAUGUAUUGGGACAUGGGAUAUGUAAUAACUGUAUUCCGAACAGCAUGAUAGAUAAAAUUUCGUAUCUAUAACAUCUGAAUGAGGGAUGUCCGAUUUAUAACGAAGAGUCUAAAGAUUGAUCUUUUUAUCUUGAAAAUUCGAUCUUGCAAAUCGGUCUUUUCACGCUUCGAUUUUGCGGGAAUCCAUCCUUGGUAUAUCAAGAAUUGCUAAAUGACAG
rnacentral:lncRNA from 1 species